CAUUUCAAUUAAAGAUUGCAUAAGGAAGUAUCAAAAACAUAAUCUACUUGUUACUACAAGCAUUCACAUUCACUAGAUACAUUUUACAUCACAAUUACAUAUUACAUUUAACUUCCAAAUACAAUCAUGCUGUUAUUACAAAUUAUUGCAAUCUUAUUUCUUUCAUGUUCUUACAUCCCUAAGUAACCGACUCAGGGUACCGUUAUCUCUGGUCUCGGUGGUAGGGCGCUAACUACGGAGCUACGCCCUCGCCUCGCACCGCCGCGCCGCUCACGUGUGAACCUGUAACACCCCAAAACA
rnacentral:lncRNA from 1 species